rnacentral:tRNA from 1 species
AAAAAUUUAGUUAAAGAAUAACAUUAGCCUGUCAAGCUAAAAUUAUUAAUUUAUUAAUAAUUUUUA